rnacentral:rRNA from 1 species
AUUGAACGCUGGCGGCAGGCCUAACACAUGCAAGUCGGACGGUAGCACAGAGGAGCUUGCUCCUUGGGUGACGAGUGGCGGACGGGUGAGUAAUGUCUGGGGAUCUGCCCGAUAGAGGGGGAUAACCACUGGAAACGGUGGCUAAUACCGCAUAACGUCGCAAGACCAAAGAGGGGGACCUUCGGGCCUCUCACUAUCGGAUGAACCCAGAUGGGAUUAGCUAGUAGGCGGGGUAAUGGCCCACCUAGGCGACGAUCCCUAGCUGGUCUGAGAGGAUGACCAGCCACACUGGAACUGAGACACGGUCCAGACUCCUCCGGGAGGCAGCAGUGGGGAAUAUUGCACAAUGGGCGCAAGCCUGAUGCAGCCAUGCCGCGUGUAUGAAGAAGGCCUUCGGGUUGUAAAGUACUUUCAGCGGGGAGGAAGGCGGUGAGGUUAAUAACCUCGCCGAUUGACGUUACCCGCAGAAGAAGCACCGGCUAACUCCGUGCCAGCCGCCGCUGUAA